AGCCGAUCCUAAGGGACGGGGUAACCCCGGCAGAUAGCGCGAUCACGCGCAUCCCCCGAAAGGGAAUCGGGUUAAGAUUUCCCGAGCCGGGAUGUGGCGGUAGACGGCGACGUUAGGAAGUCCGGAGACGCCGGCGGGGGCCUCGGGAAGAGUUAUCUUUUCUGCUUAACGGCCUGCCAACCCUGGAAACGGUUCAGCCGGAGGUAGGGUCCAGUGGCCGGAAGAGCACCGCACGUCGC
rnacentral:ncRNA from 1 species